AGAACUUUGAAGAGAGAGUUCAAGAGUACGUGAAACCGUUCAGGGGUAAACCUGAGGAACCCGAAAGAUCGAAUGGGGAGAUUCAACGUCAGCGACGCUGGCCUCGCGAUGGCGAGUGAUGCCUCGGGGACUUCGGUAACCGCGGGCACGCAGCCGUUGUGCAAGUCCGGUGGCGUCGGCGUGCACUUCUCCCCUAGUAGGACGUCGCGACCCGUUGGGUGCCGGUCUAAGGGCCGGGUGGUAGACUGCCUCGUCGCUCCGGCGCAUCGAGGCAGACCCCCGGAUCCAGUCGCCGGCUGCCCGGCGGUACUCGCACGGUAUCGGGCCGCAAUUCGAACUGCGUCGGGCCCGUCGCAAGCGCGAUCAGUGUUUCACGGAGGUCGGACCUAGCGCCGUCCCCGUGCCUGGUCAGCUGUUGGUUGACGGUGUUCUCCGACUGGCCAUUGAACGUUUACGAUACCGGUCGGCGACGCUACUGCUUUGGGUAAUCUCAGGACCCGUCUUG
rnacentral:rRNA from 1 species